CAGGGAGACAACAAAAUGUUUAAUAUUAUUAUUUUGUCACCUUAGGUCGAUCGGUAUCUCACAUUUUUAAUUUAUUAAGAAUUUCAUUUCCUAAGUUUUUCUAGGUCACACCCAUUAUUUUUCCUGGGCCAUUAGCUCAGGUGGUUAGAGCGCACCCCUGAUAAGGGUGAGGUCCCUGGUUCAAGUCCAGGAUGGCCCAUAUCUCUAUAUGUUGGGGGUAUAGCUCAGUUGGUAGAGCGCCUGCUUUGCAAGCAGGAUGUCAGCGGUUCGAGUCCGCUUACCUCCACUGAUUACCACCUCUUCCAUAAGCUGGAGAAAGGAAACUUUUUGUGUUGUGAUCAAAUUCUGAACGAAUCUAGCUUCCUAAUGAAAACAUUAAGAUGCUGGACUCAUUGAAUUAAUUUCAUUGUUUUCAGAGAACCUUGACAACUGCAUAGAUUAUUUUUAAAGACAAUAAGCAUCUUUAAUGAUGCAGAUUUAUUAUUUGUGCGAAUGCAUUAAUAACAAUUCUAUUAAGCUGAUGCUUCAAUUUUUGAAGUUAUU
rnacentral:tRNA from 1 species